rnacentral:rRNA from 1 species
UACGUAGGGUGCGAGCGUUGUUCGGAUUCACUGGGCGUAGAGGGUGCGUAGGUGGUGAGGUAAGUCGGAUGUGAAAUCUCCGGGCUCAACCCGGAAAUGGCAUUGGAAACUACCUUGCUGGAGGAUUUGAGGGGGGAUUGGAAUACUUGGUGUAGCAGUGAAAUGCGUAGAUAUCAAGUGGAACACCAGUGGCGAAGGCGAAUCCCUGGAAAAUACCUGACACUGAGGCACGAAAGCUAGGGGAGCAAACAGG